AAGAUGCUACAGAAGCUCCUUUUGACCUCCCAAUCGUCCCUGCUGACUCAGAAAGCUGCUGGCUCUCAGCACGCAAUUCGUCCAUCUUUGCUUGAUAUAGCUGUCUAAGAGAAGCCUGUUCAUGUUCAGGAUAUUCAUCCUUGUGAGAAGAAAAGAGAGAUUCUGUGAGGCCCUCAACAUCCAAGUCACCGCAUCCCACAGCUCGUAGGUCUCUAGCAAGUUCCUGAGUCUUUUCAUAUGCCACCGCUAGCAUUCUGAGAUAUAACAAAAGUCCGCCUUCUUCCAUAGGAGGUAAAUUCACAAGAGAAGGUUUGACUAACAAUUUGUCCAAAAGAGCUGUAACUCGCUGCUCCAAAACUCGCUGGACCAAAAUUGACAUGACAUCAUUAGGAGAAGGAAAUACUGCCAUAAUUGUGGCUGCCUCUUUACGAACAGUGUCUGUAAUUUCUUUGUAUAAUGAAGAAAGCCCACGAGCAACAUUACUGGGACUAGCUUGAGAAACCUGAUCACCAAGAACCAAUCUGGUGUCCGCAUUCAUGACUUCCACGUCAAUGAACAUCGGACGUGUUGCCACAUAAUGUUGCAUAGCACUGGUACCCCUGUUAAACUGAGAUAAAAUUUUAGCACAUUCUGCCAUGGUAGACAACUCUCUUCUCUGUGAUGCUGCAUCAAAUCGAGCCAACAAUCUGUUCUCCAGUUCAUUGCAGUAAUCCUGAAGAUUAGCAACUGCAACUUCCAAUCCUCUGCUAGCAGUUGCAUUUCCCAUAACUGAUGGUACAGAUAUGCCUUGUCUUCCCAUAUCUUCCUCAGCAAAGGAACGUAAUUUCUGUGCAAUUGAAGCAGCCUCAGAAACACGGCUGUCAUCUGAAAACAA
rnacentral:misc_RNA from 1 species